rnacentral:rRNA from 1 species
CAGUAGCCGCGGUAAUACGAAGGGUGCAAGCGUUAAUCGGAAUUACUGGGCGUAAAGCGUGCGUAGGUGGUGGUUUAAGUCCGUUGUGAAAGCCCUGGGCUCAACCUGGGAAUUGCAGUGGAUACUGGGUCACUAGAGUGUGGUAGAGGAUAGUGGAAUUUCCGGUGUAGCAGUGAAAUGCGUAGAGAUCGGAAGGAACAUCUGUGGCGAAGGCAACUAUCUGGGCCAACACUGACACUGAGGCACGAAAGCGUGGGGAGCAAACAGGAUUAGAUACCCCAGUAGUCCCUGUCUCUUAUAC